UUUUUCUCGAUUUCCUUCUCUUUCUCAUUCUCACCUUCAUUCAUUUUCUUCUUCUUAUUCUCUUUCUUUCUCAUUUAUUUCACUCAUCCUUCUUCUAUCCAUAUUUUAAUUUGUUGUCUUCAAAUAAAUUUGGGAAUACAUUUCAGAUUAGGGUUUUUAUAAAUUUAUUUAUUUUCUUCUUCAACUUUCAUUUUUAACCAAUAUCUUAUUUGACCAUUUUUAACUUUUUUUUUUGCUUAUUCUAUUGCAGGUUAUAAAUUUGUCUUUCCCCUUGAUAUGAUGCUUUCAUUAGUUACAGUAUUAAAGUACCAGUCCAGAGACAUGGAAAGGCAUAGAUGGGAAAGCUGGGAAAGUUGACGCAUUUGUGUCUGUGGUAGGUUGCGUUGAAGGAAGGUGUUGGAACAUUGGGGGGGACUGACAUUUACCGACAAUUCAAGCUGGAUAAGGAGCAGUAAAUUCAUGCUUGACAUGAAGAUUGCAUCAGGUUUAUAAACUGUGGUUUUUCUAUCAUUUUCUUUCUUGCAACAUUGAAUUUUUUUUACUGCAUUUUCCAUCUUAACGUUUUGGUUUUUCUGGAUUUUUACUGUCAUUCUUGACGAUUUCGGAGAUAAGAAAGAUAUCGAGGAAAGAUGUGAGUAGGGUUUUUUAAAUUUCUUAUUCAAUUUGAUUUUAACUUUGUCAUAUCGAUCUAGGUCUGGUUUUUCAAUAAUGUUGCAUUAUGGUGGCCUUAAAUCCCUUUAACGAAGUUUCUCCAUGUUCCAACCAUCAGGCCUAACGUUUAUGCAAUUACAGGCCCAACCAUCAGAUAGUUGACACAGGGUAUCAUUUUUUUCCUAAUAGUUACAUAUAUAGAUCAAAGAGAUAAUACUGAAUUUUUGAUGAUAAGUUUUGUUCCUUACAUUGUUAUGUGAUUAGAUUCACUUUGGAUACUAAUUGGAGUAGAAUUUUUGACGCAGUUGACAUUGCUAAGGAGCAUAAAUAUUGACGCAGAAUUCUCCUAUCAUUGUUUUUUAACCAAUUUCUUGAACUUUUGUUGAUAGCAAAAUGAAAAAUAUGAUUUGAAUGGUCUGAAUAUGACUGUGAUGUUUUUAAAGGUUGGCGUUGGUCUUCCUGUGAUAGCAUCCUUGAAUCGCAUUAUCUCGAGAGGGUGAUAUGUGAUUUUUUUUAAUAAUUUAUAUAGUUGUUUUUUUCAUGAACUCAAAUUUUGAAGCAACACUAUAGUUUGUAGAAUAGUAUGUUUUUACUCCCAAGAGGGUGAUAUGUGAUUUUGAGGUACAUAGUACAGAAAUUGCAGGAGUCUUGCUGAAUGACUUACAUGUUUUCGAAAAGUGUUGAUUGUCAAGAAGGUAUGCAUGUUUCUAUUAUGCAAGUUUCUAAUGUACACUCCUAGAUUUGUUUUCCUAAUUAACAUUUUCUGAUUUGUGUUGAAUGUUUACUCCUUUUAUCUUAGAUCCUGCUGGCAAGAGACACUACAUGUUAUGUGCCUUGACAGUAAUUGUCCUUAUAGCUCUUUGGUCCAUCUUCACAGGUUCAGUCACCCUCAAAUGGUCCACAAACAAUCUUAAUCAAUUAUCAAGUGGAUUGGAUUCUAUGAUUCUUGAAGAUCUAGAUGUGUUGAUAUGAUGGGAAUUUAAUCAGGUGCAGCUGCUAUAAAAUUUGGGAAAACACCAGAAAAUGCAGGAAAGCUCAUCGUUGUAAGUUUACAAUCCUUAAUAAGUUUUAUCGUUGCAGAAUUAUAAGAUGAAGUCUACGACUUGUACCAAUAUUAUUAUUUCCUGGGAGAUCUCUGUUGGUUGAAAAUAUUGAGUUGUUCCUUUUAAUUCUUCUACCAUUUAAUUAUGACUUUCUUCUUUGUUUUCUCACAUGAAGGUCCUCGGGUUUCAUUCUUAUGCAUGUUAAUUAAUGGUUGAUACACUAAUUGGCCUGCAAACAGUUGUUUUAUGAGUUCUAAUAAUUAGAGAAAGAAUUGGAUAAUGUGACAUAUAAGGGAAUGUUUACUUACAUGUCCAAAAUUGUCAAUCAAUGGCAACGGAUAAUAGGCCAACAACAGACAUUCGAGAUGGAUCUAACAUGCUAUCUAUGUGUAAUGAAUUGCAUUAACUUUGAUUUUUAUCGGAGGGUUUACCAUAGAGUGGAGAUUGCUGACAAGCAUGUAUUAGUGGCUACCCUACUUGCAAGAGUAUUGGAGGGUAGACAAUGAAGAUUCUGUAGAAUUAGAUUAGUUUGCUCUACAUGCUUCUGUUAUUUAUCAACUUUUCUCAUUUGUCUUUAACUGCAGUGUGUUUUGGAAUGAUUUAAUUAGUGUUUUUUUUAAGUAACAUGAAAGAGUAAUAUU